GUUAAAACUAAAAAGAGUAAAAAAGGAAAAAAGAAAAAGAAAGUUAUUGGUUGCUAGCAGUUACAGGCCGCUGGCUGGUCGUUCUUUGGUGGUUGAAAUGCUACGUGCUUUACACCUCCAAGAAAUUGGAGCCAAAUCCUUUGUAUUUCCUCUCCAAUUCCCUCUUCAUUAGCUAAAUCUUACACCCAUUCACUGAGUCCACCCGCUCAUGUUGUAGCGGG
rnacentral:misc_RNA from 1 species